UUUAUUCUUUUGGAUAUAGGCGGUAAGGAGCGGGUAGGGGGUGAGAGGAAAAUAGGUCUCCCCAGAUUUUCUAAGUUAUCCCUGUUGACUGAAGAUUUCAAGAUGUAUUCAAAUUCAGUAAACAAAGUUCUCUUUCCCUAAAGGGAGAUGUUGACAGCAAAUGCUGACAGGUUUCUCCUGGGCUAAACCCAAGAGUCUUCUCAGCACUCAGUCUUAUGUAUAAGCAAUAACGGAAGACAGAGUCCGUCUUCCACCUUCUCAUCCAACAGCCAGUUCAAGCAGCUGGACUUUCCUAACGGCUCCCGUCAAGAUUCCAUUGGAACACAGUCUCUCCUCUGCCCCUCCUCCGAUGAUUGGUGUUCCAAGAGUUCUGAGCUUCUUGCUUUUUCUGCAGAUCCAUUUUGUAUUGCCAUAUGGUCAAUUACAUUGUGUAAUUGGGAUAAGACCUCACAUCCCUGCAGCCUUUUAUGUUUGGGGUUUCUUUCCCUUAGCACAGGCCACCUAACAGCAUUCCUGAGGAAUCGAUAUUUCAAGCCUUUAUAGUAACCUCAUUAGUUAAAGAUGUUGGGGGUUCCUAGAGUAAGUAAUGCUGCCCUUAAGGAAUGUUUCUACUAUUAUACCACUUCUCAGAAGGGAUGAUAGGAUAUCCUGGUGUACUAGGCGUUCAGGGAAGACUAGUACUCCUGGUGUGAAGGCUUGCCAAAGCUUUUCUCCUUUCCUGUCUACCUGCUACCCAGCUCUCAUCUGUGGCUCCAAAAAACUAUAUGCACAGUGGCCACACCCAGUAAACUAUCUUGACUGGAGGCUAAAACAGAGUGAAGACAUCACCCAUGAAGUUAUUAUCCUCUUUGAAAACAAAUGACAAACAACAGCAUCCCAAACCCAAGAGGCCUGAGAACUUCUGCCUGGAUGGCCAGAAGAUCUAAAUCUUGGACGUGUUGGAGCAAUACAGAAUAAAAGUGAGUGAAAUAUCCAUUCAA